rnacentral:rRNA from 1 species
CAUAGUUUUGGUCCUAAACUUACUGCUACUUUUAAUCAAAUUUACACAUGCAAGCAUCCACACACCAGUGAAAUACGCCCUAACACAGUAUAAAUGGAGCAGGUAUCAGGCACAACCGCCAGCCAAAAACACCAAGCUUUGCCACACCCACACGGGCCCUCAGCAGUGAUAAACAUUAAGCAAUAAGCGAACACACCAAACUAAAGCUUGACUUAGUUAUGAUUAACAGGGCCGGUAAACCUCGUGCCAGCCACCGCGGUUACACGGCGGGCCCAAAGCAGCAGACUCUCGGCGUAAAUAGUGGCCAGAAUAAUUACCCCCACAUUAAAAACUAAACCAUACCCUAACCGUAAAACACAGGCUAAAUGAAAUCAAGCACUUUUAAUAACAGGUAAUUUGACCCACGAAAACUAAGAAACAAACUAGGAUUAGAUACCCUACUAUGCUUAGUCGUUAAUAUGAUAUUAUAGUACUAAAAUAUCCGCCAGAAAACUACGAGCGAAAAGCUUAAAACUCAAAGGACUUGGCGGUGCUCCAUACCGACUUAGAGGAGCCUGUCCUAUAAUCGAUACCCCACGCUAAACCCCACCAAUCUUUGCCAUACCAGCCUAUAUACCGCCGUCGUCAACCCACCUCAUGAGAGAAAAACAGUGAGUACAAAAGUUCAAUAACUAAAACGUCAGGUCAAGGUGUAGC